GUCCUAGCCUUAAACGAUGUGCACUUGGGUGUUGGGGGUAGUCGACCCCUCCCAGUGCCGAAGCUAACGCAUUAAGUGCACCGCCUGGGGAGGUACGGUCGCAAGGCUGAAACUCAAAGGAAAUUGACGGGGGCCCGGCACAAGCGGUGGAGCAUGUGGUUUAAUUCGACGCAACGCGAAGAACCUUACCGGGGUUUGAACUGCCGGUGACAGCCUCAGAAAUGAGGUCUCCCUUCGGGGCGCCGGUAGAGGUGCUGCAUGGCUGUCGU
rnacentral:rRNA from 1 species